rnacentral:other from 1 species
ACGACUGGGCAUUGUCCCCCAGUUCCCCCCAAAUUUGGGCAUUGUCCCUAAGUCCUCCAACGGACUGGGCGUUGCCCCCGGACAUUGGGGACUGCCCCCCGGGGUCUCGCUCACCUUCAGCAG